UCUUAACAGGGGGAGACUGUGACAACCGGUAAUUUACGGCUCUUAAUUAUGCGAUUAACAGGAGAUUAACGCAAUAAUAAAUAGUGAUUACAGCAUAAAUCAACUUAAUUAGGCCUUUGGAGUGCCUAGGAAUGCUUAUCCGACUCUACAGUACGCGUAUGAAAACUCGUGUGGAAUCUGCGGAACAUGAAAUGACAACGGACUGAUACCGUACGAAAUAAUGACGACGCCGACAAAUAUGGACGUUACACGAAUAUUUUAUGCUCAGGGAGUUUGGGUCGCGAUAUCGGGUCUCAUAGAAAUUACGGGCCACCUACACAUGAGAUGGGCUUGUGGGCCCUGGGCCGAAGCCCAACACCCACAAAUCUAAACCUGCAUAACAUCCUUUACAAGAUCUUAUAAGAUCUACACUAAAUCGCUACAAAAUAUACACUAGAGAUUUGGUCUCAAAAAUGGGAACAUAAAUUCUUAUGGAUAAUAAUUUGUUGAAAGAUAAUGACAUUAACCUCUAAACAAAACCCACAUUCACGUGUAUAAAAAGGCCCAUACCCCUCUUCAAUUGGGCAGACCAAAAACAAAUACACACACCUAAAGUUGAUCUCCCUUCUCUCCCUCUCUUUCGGAUAUGUGAAAAGAACAACACCCAGACCAACCACAACAUUCUCCUGCUCUCGAUCGGUUGGUCAAGCCGACUGGAGCCAACAUCAGCACCGAUGCCAGCGACUUCCUCCUCCGGUAACACCCAUACACCCCUGAAUACCCCCCCUCUUUCGAGCAACAAGAACGACCACCACCACCACCACAGUCCGGUGGUGGUGCGACGGCGGAGACAGAGUCCGAGAGAGAGAGAGAGAGACUGAAAGAGAGAGAGACUGAAAGAGAGAGAGAAAAACCGGCGGUCCGAUCGAUUAUCCAGUGGUCCGAUCAAUUAUCCGGUCGGUUCAUGUGUCUGAUGGUCGGCAUGAUUUUCCGACGGGUUUCAAACUCCGGUCAGAUUCGAGGGUUCAGAUUCACUUUGGGCGGUUCAGUUUCGCGGCGGUGGAGUCGAACAGCAGCGGUGGUGCGUAUGCUUCGACAAAUUUUCGGUGUUCGGUGGGCAAACUAGUUCCGGUUCAGUUCUUGGAAGCUUCGGGUUCGGGUGGAGAGCGGUUCGAGUCACAACCGCGGUUCGGGUCUCCCGUAAGGCUCGGGUCAGAUUAUAUGUUUAGGAACCGGAUUCAUGUUCGGGUCAAGCUUGGUUCGGGUUAUUUUCAUCUCAGAUUUGAGUUCAGAUUUGGUGGAUUUUGAACUUCAGCUGAUUGUUGAUGUUAGUAAUUUGCUCAGGAGGCUUAUAUUGUAGUUCUUUUCUUAAGAUGUAAGGUGUGUUCGGUUCGGGUUCAGGUUAAGUUCAGCUCCGGGUCCGCAUCUGAGAGUUCGGGUCUCGACUCAGUCCAACUCGGCCCCACUCAGCACGACUUAGUCCGGCUCGGUUCAACUCAGCUUACGGGUCCACUCGGUACGGGUCAACUCAGCUUACGAGUCAACUCGGUCAGUUCAGUCAAGCGGCUCGGUCAGCUUCAGUUUUGACUCGGUCAACUCGGGUCAAACCCGGUUGACUCAGUCAACUCAGCGAGUCAACCCGGGUCAACUUAGUCCGCGUUUCGACAUGAAGACUUGAAUGCACGCUAGCAAGUCCCGCCUUGGAAACGACAUCAAGAAGUCGUAAAUUAGCUAGC